AUGAACGCUGGCGGCGUGCCUAAUACAUGCCAGUCGAGCGAACGGACGAGAAGCUUGCUUCUCUGAUGUUAGCGGCGGACGGGUGAGUAACACGUGGAUAACCUACCUAUAAGACUGGGAUAAUUUCGGGAAACCGGAGCUAAUACCGGAUAAUAUUUUGAACCGCAUGGUUCAAAAGUGAAAGACGGUCUUGCUGUCACUUAUAGAUGGAUCCGCGCUGCAUUAGCUAGUUGGUAAGGUAACGGCUUACCAAGGCAACGAUGCAUAGCCGACCUGAGAGGGUGAUCGGCCACACUGGAACUGAGACACGGUCCAGACUCCUACGGGAGGCAGCAGUAGGGAAUCUUCCGCAAUGGGCGAAAGCCUGACGGAGCAACGCCGCGUGAGUGAUGAAGGUCUUCGGAUCGUAAAACUCUGUUAUUAGGGAAGAACAUAUGUGUAAGUAACUGUGCACAUCUUGACGGUACCUAAUCAGAAAGCCACGGCUAACUACGUG
rnacentral:rRNA from 1 species